UGGCGUAGGAUUUACGACGUUACUUUGAAAAAAUUAGAGUGUUCAAAGCAGNCUUUCCGCUUGAAUACAUGAGCAUGGAAUAAUGGAAUAGNACUUUGGUUCUAUUUUGUUGGUUUCUAGGGCCGAAGUAAUGAUUAAGAGGGACAAUUGGGGGCAUCCGUAUUUCGUUGUCAGAGGUGAAAUUCUUGGAUUUACGAAAGACGAACAACUGCGAAAGCAUUUGCCAAGAGUGUUUUCAUUAAUCAAGAACGAAAGUUAGAGGAUCGAAGACGAUCAGAUACCGUCCUAGUUCUAACCAUAAACGAUGUCGACUAGGGAUCAGCGGGCGUUACUGUACGACCUCGUUGGCACCUUACGGGAAACCAAAGUUUUUGGAUUCCGGGGGAAGUAUGGUUGCAAAGCUGAAACUUAAAGGAAUUGACGGAAGGGCACCACCCAGGAGU
rnacentral:rRNA from 1 species